ACUGCGGCAGCAGAUAAUUCCAAAUUUUCAUACGAAAGCUUCUACUCAAAAUAAAUGAAAGAAAUUUUAUAAUUAUUUAAGGUCAACAAAUAGAUAAAAUAUAUUUUGUUCAUGAAAAAUAUUCCAAUUUCAUUGAGCUGAUAGAUUUAAAUGGCAAUAUAUAAUGUCAUCAAAAUUUAAAGUUACUAUUAUAUUGAGCACCUCCAUCGGUGGAUUUAGGAGGAGGUGCUUAAGCAUUAAACGGAAAAAAUAAAUCAAAAAUGGUAUUAUUAGGCAGGAGCGCUCCUUAAUUAAGUGAUUUUAGGAAUGGUAAAGACGCCAGACGUGGCAGGAAGGUAUUGAUUGGGUCAUUUAAGUCAAAGGGGAAAAACUCGUGACUCUCUUUUUCGUUGUCGGUUCCGCUUUCUCUUGUUCGGUUCUCUGAAAUCGGUCUGAAUCUCGCGGUCGUUUCUGUCAGAAAUCUCCGAAGGUUGAUGAUGUUUGAUCCGUUUGUUGGUGAUUAUGGUUUUCUCUUGUUCGAUUUCGUUGAAAUCCCAUCGUCGGAUCUCUCUUUUCCUCGUCGAUUCAGAUGAAAUCUCCAACAGAGAAGACGUUUGAUUCGUUUCUUUCUUCGUCGAGGAGGAGGUCCAGACUCGUCCAUGCAAUCACCAUAAAUUUGUAGCAGUAAAGGAUGGUUUAGCUGCGUGGGAGAGAGUGAAGAAGAAGACACAUAAGUAUAACAUUGAAGAAGACUAACCAUCUCUCUUUAAAAUCAGCGAUAAGUAGACAUCCUUUAAUGCGUGUUAGACAUAUUGGAAUAUUUGUUUCAAUAUAUAAAUAUCAGUUUCAAUGUAUAAUAUCGGGUUAGCAAUAUAAUUGUUAAUCCAUUUGGAUUCGAUCAUUUGAUAUGCUAUUUUUCUAACCCGAGAUUGGUUUAUUUAAACAUGUUUUCAGGUCGAAGAAGAACACCAAUACAGAAGCAGCCAAGAUGUGAAUGCAGACGAUCAGCUACAUGGCGGAACGUGUUGUCGGCGAAGGAUCUUUUGGCGUUGUGUUUCAAGUGAGUUUUUCUUCUCCUUACUAAAUGAAAAGUGUAACACUCGUGACUUGUUGGUUAGUGGCUGGGUUAGGAUUUUAUGGUAUCACACUGUAACACUCGUGACUUGCUGGUUAGUGGCUGAGUUAGGAUUGUGAUAGUAUCACACUGUAUUUGUAUUUUCAAUAUCUGGUUAGUGGCCGAUUUUUUCUCCUUUACAAUUAAUAUUUGUAUUUUCAGUAUGUUGUAAUGUCUCUUUUUAAUAAAACUAGGGGGUAGGGCGGUACAAACAGUAAAUUUCAAAUAAUAUAGAAACAUCUUAUAUUUGAA